GAUCAAACUAUCAAUCUCAUAAGAGAAGAAAUCUCUAUGCCCCCUUUUUCUUGGUUUUCUCCCAUGCUUUUGCUGGUCAACAACCAACCACAACUUUCUAUAGUUCUUCACUACUCUUAGAGGCUUGACGGAGUGAAGCUGUCUGGAGGGAAUCAUUUUGUUGAAAUNNNNNNNNNNGACGGAGUGAAGCUGUCUGGAGGGAAUCAUUUUGUUGAAAUCAAUUAAUCUAAUCAUGCCUCAACUGGAUAAAUUCACUUAUUUUUCACAAUUCUUCUGGUUAUGCCUUUUCUUCUUUACUUUCUAUAUUUUCAUAUGNN
rnacentral:lncRNA from 1 species